GCCCAGGGUAGUCUAGUGAACAUAGCAUCUGCCCGGUUAAGCGGAACACUGUGGGUUCGAUUCCCAUCCUUGGACA
rnacentral:tRNA from 1 species